rnacentral:tRNA from 1 species
AGGCGGGGCGAGCGGCGGCUCGGACGGCGGUUCGAGCGCCUCGGGUUCGGGUUCGGGCUCCGGCUCGGGUUCGGGUUCCGGCUCGGCCUCC